rnacentral:misc_RNA from 1 species
GAUGAAGAACGCAGUGAAAUGCGAUAAGUAAUGUGAAUUGCAGAAUUCAGUGAAUCAUCGAAUCUUUGAACGCACAUUGCGCCCGCCAGUAUUCUGGCGGGCAUGCCUGUCUGAGCGUCAUUUCAACCCUCAAGCAACUUCUGCUUGGUGUUGGGGAUCGGCCGUCAAACGCCGCCCCCGAAAUCUAUUGGCGAUCUCGCUGUAGCUUCCUAUGCGUAGUAGUAACAUCUCGCAUCUGGAGAGCGGCGCGGUCAUGCCGUAAAACACCCAACUUCUCAGGUUGACCUCAGAUCAGGUAGGAAUACCCGCUGAACUUAAGCAUAUCAAUAAGCGGAGA